GGUUGCCAGGCGGGCCCGGACGCGCCGCCCGGAUCCCGCUUCCCGAUCCCGGCCCGGCCGGACGCGGCCUCCUGACCCCCCCCAUGGAGGGGGACAAGAGAAGAACCAAAGAAGAUACUUGGAAAUCAGAAGAACUUAGGAAACAUCUUAAGGCAUCACAACCAGAUAGUCAAAAUGAAGACCAAAAGCACAGAGAAAAGAAACUGCAGAAAGAUAGGUCUGCUCUUGACACAGACACUCAUAAACAUGAACGAAAAGACAGAGGGAAGAGCAAGGAAAGAACACGAGAGAGAGAGAGGCUUAAAUCUAGUGAGAGAGACAGGGAUAAAAUGAGAGAGAGAGAAAGGGGAAAAGAGCACCUGAGAGGAGAUGGAGAGAGAUACAGAGAUAAGCUUCAAGAGCCACAUUUGGAGAAGGAAAGAUACAGUGUACCCAAACAUAAAGAUAGGGAGAGUGAUAGAGAAGGAGACAAAAAGCAUAAGAGACAUGAGAUAAAGCAAAUAGAUACACAAAAUAAUCUGAAAUCAUUUGAAGGAGGACAUAAAGAACAUCACAGAAGAAGAGAAGGCAGGCAUCGUUUGGGUAAGUUGCUUUAGGUUGCUUUUGUCCUUGGAAAUUUUUGAUGUUUCGAUAGGAAUACUCUGAACCCAUACCCCGUCUGUACGGAGAGGAUAAAGACAGGUAGGUGUGGAUGCCUACUGACAGGUGUAUCUUUAGAGAAUCUU
ensembl:lncRNA